AGGGGUCAUCCUAGGUGGGUCAUCCCACUGCAUGGGUCUUCCCAAGUGGAUCAUCCCACUGCAUGUCAUGAGUCAAAAUAAAGCGUACCGGCCGCUCAAUGAAAAGGGAUGACCUAGAUGGGUCGCCCUAUAUUGUUGCAACCCAAUUUUUUAUGUAUUUAAGGUUUGAAACUUACCAUAAUACUUUCAAAUGCUCUCAAAUAGAUUCAAAUCAAUUUGACACUCUCAAAAGGUUUCAAAAACUUCUCCAAGUUGUAGAAACUUCAAUUUUGGCACACUUGAUGAAACUUUUCAAACUCAAUCUUUUAGACUAUC
rnacentral:lncRNA from 1 species